rnacentral:rRNA from 1 species
AGCGGCGGACGGGUGAGUAAUGCCUAGGAAUCUGCCUGGUAGUGGGGGAUAACGUUCGGAAACGGACGCUAAUACCGCAUACGUCCUACGGGAGAAAGCAGGGGACCUUCGGGCCUUGCGCUAUCAGAUGAGCCUAGGUCGGAUUAGCUAGUUGGUGAGGUAAUGGCUCACCAAGGCGACGAUCCGUAACUGGUCUGAGAGGAUGAUCAGUCACACUGGAACUGAGACACGGUCCAGACUCCUACGGGAGGCAGCAGUGGGGAAUAUUGGACAAUGGGCGAAAGCCUGAUCCAGCCAUGCCGCGUGUGUGAAGAAGGUCUUCGGAUUGUAAAGCACUUUAAGUUGGGAGGAAGGGCAGUUACCUAAUACGUGAUUGUUUUGACGUUACCGACAGAAUAAGCACCGGCUAACUCUGUGCCAGCAGCCGCGGUAAUACAGAGGGUGCAAGCGUUAAUCGGAAUUACUGGGCGUAAAGCGCGCGUAGGUGGUUUGUUAAGUUGGAUGUGAAAUCCCCGGGCUCAACCUGGGAACUGCAUUCAAAACUGACUGACUAGAGUAUGGUAGAGGGUGGUGGAAUUUCCUGUGUAGCGGUGAAAUGCGUAGAUAUAGGAAGGAACACCAGUGGCGAAGGCGACCACCUGGACUAAUACUGACACUGAGGUGCGAAAGCGUGGGGAGCAAACAGGAUUAGAUACCCUGGUAGUCCACGCCGUAAACGAUGUCAACUAGCCGUUGGAAGCCUUGAGCUUUUUAGUGGCGCAGCUAACGCAUUAAGUUGACCGCCUGGGGAGUACGGCCGCAAGGUUAAAACUCAAAUGAAUUGACGGGGGCCCCGCACAAGCGGUGGAGCAUGUGGUUUAAUUCGAAAGCAACGCGAANAACCCUUACCAGGCCNUUGACAUCCAAUGAACUUUUUAGAAAUAGAUUGGNUGCCCUUCGGGNAACNAUUGAAACNNGGUGCUUGCAUGGNCUGUCNUCANCUUC